rnacentral:RNase_P_RNA from 1 species
GCAGAGGAACAGAGGAUCGUCGGUGGCGGGUUCAUCCCCGUCGCGGGAGGAAAGUCCGAGCUCCGCAGGGCAGGGUGCCGGGUAACGCCCGGUGAGAGUGAUCUCGAGGAAAGUGCCACAGAGAAGCAGACCGCCCCGGCGCCGCGAGGCCCCGGGGCAAGGGUGAAAAGGUGGGGUAAGAGCCCACCGCGCUCCUGGUAACAGGGGCGGCAUGGAACACCACACCCGGAGCAAGGCCACAUAAGGGGGCGCUCGAGGACGGCCCGUCCGAGCCCCCGGGUAGGCUGCUCGAGCCACGCGGCGACGCGUGGCCUAGAGGAAUGAUCAUCACCGCGCGGCGGGUAACCAAGGCGCGGCACAGAACUCGGCUUACGGGCCUCUGCGACC